ACGAACGCUGGCGGCGUGCUUAACACCUGCAAGUCGCACGGAAAGGCCCUGCUUUUGUGGGGUGCUCGAGUGGCGAACGGGUGAGUAACACGUGAGUAACCUGCCCUUGACUUUGGGAUAACUUCAGGAAACUGGGGCUAAUACCGGAUAGGAGCUCCUGCUGCAUGGUGGGGGUUGGAAAGUUUCGGCGGUUGGGGAUGGACUCGCGGCUUAUCAGCUUGUUGGUGGGGUAGUGGCUUACCAAGGCUUUGACGGGUAGCCGGCCUGAGAGGGUGACCGGCCAAAUUGGGACUGAGAUACGGCCCAGAAUCCUACGGGAGGCAGCAGUGGGGAAUAUUGCACAAUGGGCGGAAGCCUGAUGCAGCAACGCCGCGUGCGGGAUGACGGCCUUCGGGUUGUAAACCGCUUUCGCCUGUGACGAAGCGUGAGUGACGGUAAUGGGUAAAGAAGCACCGGCUAACUACGUG
rnacentral:rRNA from 1 species